rnacentral:rRNA from 1 species
CGGACGGGUGAGUAACGCGUGGGAACGUGCCCUUCUCUACGGAAUAGCCCAGGGAAACUUGGAUUAAUACCGUAUACGCCCUUCGGGGGAAAGAUUUAUCGGAGAAGGAUCGGCCCGCGUUAGAUUAGGUAGUUGGUGGGGUAAUGGCCUACCAAGCCGACGAUCUAUAGCUGGUUUGAGAGGAUGAUCAGCCACACUGGGACUGAGACACGGCCCAGACUCCUACGGGAGGCAGCAGUGGGGAAUCUUAGACAAUGGGGGCAACCCUGAUCUAGCCAUGCCGCGUGUGUGAUGAAGGCCUUAGGGUCGUAAAGCACUUUCGCCAGGGAAGAUAAUGACGGUACCUGGUAAAGAAACCCCGGCUAACUCCGUGCCAGCAGCCGCGGUAAUACGGAGGGGGUUAGCGUUGUUCGGAAUUACUGGGCGUAAAGCGCGCGUAGGCGGAUCAGCAAGUUAGGGGUGAAAUCCCGGGGCUCAACCCCGGAACUGCCCUUAAAACUGCUGACCUAGAGUUCGAGAGAGGUGAGUGGAAUUCCGAGUGUAGAGGUGAAAUUCGUAGAUAUUCGGAGGAACACCAGUGGCGAAGGCGGCUCACUGGCUCGAUACUGACGCUGAGGUGCGAAAGUGUGGGGAGCAAACAGGAUUAGAUACCCUGGUAGUCCACACCGUAAACGAUGAAUGCCAGACGUCGGGCAGCAUGCUGUUCGGUGUCGCAGUUAAC